CCUACGGGUGGCAGCAGUCGAGAAUCAUUCACAAUGGGGGAAACCCUGAUGGUGCGACGCCGCGUGGGGGAAUGAAGGUCUUCGGAUUGUAAACCCCUGUCAUGUGGGAGCAAAUUAAAAAGAUAGCACCACAAGAGGAAGAGACGGCUAACUCUGUGCCAGCAGCCGCGGUAAUACAGAGGUCUCAAGCGUUGUUCGGAAUCACUGGGCGUAAAGCGUGCGUAGGCUGUUUCGUAAGUCGUGUGUGAAAGGCGCGGGCUCAACCCGCGGACGGCACAUGAUACUGCGAGACUAGAGUAAAGGAGGGGGAACCGGAAUUCUCGGUGUAGCAGUGAAAUGCGUAGAUAUCGAGAGGAACACUCGUGGCGAAGGCGGGUUCCUGGACAUUAACUGACGCUGAGGCACGAAGGCCAGGGGAGCGAAAGGGAUUAGAUACCCCGGUAGUC
rnacentral:rRNA from 1 species